GGAAGGGUGGCUGAGCUGGUCGAAGGCACCUGACUCGAAAUCAGGCGUAGCAGCAAUGCUACCGUGGGUUCGAAUCCCACCCCUUCCG
rnacentral:tRNA from 1 species